GGGGAUUUAGCUCAGUGGUAGAGCGCGUGUCUAGCAAGCGCAAGGCCCUGGGUUCGGUCCCCAGCUCCG
rfam:Rattus norvegicus chromosome 20, whole genome shotgun sequence.